rnacentral:rRNA from 1 species
GUAGGUGGCAAGCGUUGUCCGGAUUUACUGGGCGUAAAGGAUGCGUAGGCGGAUUUUAAGUGAGAUGUGAAAUACCCGGGCUUAACUUGGGUGCUGCAUUUCAAACUGGGAAUCUAGAGUGGGGGAGAGGAGAAUGGAAUUCCUAGUGUAGCGGUGAAAUACGUAGAGAUUAGGAAGAACACCAGUGGCGAAGGCGAUUCUCUGGACCGUAACUGACGCUGAGGCAUGAAAGCGUGGGUAGCAAACAGGGAUUAGAUACCCUGGUAGUCCACGCCGUAAACGAUGAGUACUAGGUGUAGGAGGUAUCGACCCCCUUCUGUGCCGCAGUUAACACAAUAAGUACUCCGCCUGGGAAGUACGAUCGCAAAGAUUA